rnacentral:rRNA from 1 species
UCCGUAGGGGGCGAGCGUUGUCCGGAAUCAUUGGGCGUAAAGCGCGUGUAGGCGGCCCGGUAAGUCCGCUGUGAAAGUCCAGGGCUCAACCCUGGGAUGCCGGUGGAUACUGUCGGGCUCGAGUCCGGAAGAGGCGAGUGGAAUUCCUGGUGUAGCGGUGAAAUGCGCAGAUAUCAGGAGGAACACCAAUGGCGAAGGCAGCUCGCUGGGACGUGACUGACGCUGAGACGCGAAAGCGUGGGGAGCAAACAGG